GGGUCUGAUCGCAUCUGUACACCAACCUUCAAAACCAGGGCUCACCUACAGCCCUCAGCAGGCAUCAUGGAAUGUGUGGAUUUAAGGAGUCUCUUCACCGUAGCCCAUUUCAUAAAGGCCAGAUGUGACCACGGCCUGAAAGCUGGUGUCUCCAAGAAUAAGAAUUAUGUCUUUUUUGAGGUGGAGAUCCUGGAUCCCAAGAGCAAGGCUCAACUCUGCUACCUGGAUAAGGUAGAGCCCAACGCCACCAUUGCAGAGAUCAAGACAUUGUUGCACAAAAUUUACCCCAAGUUUUAUCCAUCAAGACAGGCACUGAAGCUACAUCCAGAGGGAAAGGCCCUCAGUGAUGAUGAUGUGCUGGAGGAUCUACCAGUUGGCACAACAGCAACAAUGUUCUUCCAGGACCUCGGCCCACAGUUAGGUUGGACUAUGGUAUUUCUGGCAGAAUGUCUUGGGCCGCUUUUCAUUUACCUGCUGUUCUUCUUUCGGCUUCCAUACAUCUACGGGCACGAGUAUGACUACACCCGGAGUCCAUUUAAAGUUGUCAGGCUGGCUUGCUGGUGCCACUCUCUUCAUUACAUUAAGAGGCUCGUGGAAACUAUUUUUAUCCAUCGCUUCUCUGGUGGAACAUUACCUUUACGCACCAUCAUGAUGCUCUGUCUGUAUUACUGGGGGUUUGCAGCAUGGCAGGCGUAUUACAUCAACCAUCCACUCUACACCCCACCAACCUAUGGGAGACUUCAAAUCUACUCUGCACUGGCAAUGUUUUUGGUCUGUGAGUUUGGAAAUUUCUCAGUUCAUCUGAUUUUGAAUCGAAUCAGCUGUAAUGGGUCCAGGCCUACAGAGAUUCCAUAUCCUACAAAUAAUCCAUUCACUUGGCUCUUUUUCUUCGUCUCCUGCCCAAACUACACAUAUGAGGUGGGAGCAUGGAUCAGCUUCACAGUCAUGACACAGUGUGUUCCAGGUAGACAUUAUUCCAUCACACACAAUCUGUACACUACAAUAAAGAGUCAAAGGCUGCAUCUGAAAUUGUAUACUUUCCUAGAGCCUACUAUAUACUAAGUACUAACAGCAGUGCUUUUUCUGUUUGUUUUAUGGAGAACUUGUUUUAACUAUGGAAGCCUGUUUUACCCACUGAAUAAAAAAUAAGAAAAAAGGUUAUUGCAACUUUAUCUCACAAUUCUCUUUUUUUUUCUCUCAAAAUUGCUCAAAAAAGUCUUGCUAUUCUAACUUUAACAUAUCUGAGUUUAUAUCUUUAUAACUUUAUAACAGCUGCAAGUUUAUGCCUCUCAGUUCUGAGAACGAAAGUCUGAAUUGUGAGUUUGUCUCACAAUUUUGGUAAAAAAAGUCAGAAUUCAAAAUGUAAACUCACAAAUGCGAGGAAAAAAGUCUGAAUUGUGAGAAAAAAGUCGCAAUUACCUUUUUGUUUAUUUUUUAUUCAGUGGCUUAAAUGAGCUUCCAUACUUAACAGGCCAAUAAGAGAAUGUUAACUACUACUCUUCCUUUUAAUUACACAAAUGUCUCAGAAAUGUCUACACACCUAUAAAACUGUUUAGGUAGAGAUUAGGUAGAAAGUAUAGACUGGUUCUAUGUUUUUUUGUACAUCUGCUCAAUCAUAUAACAAACAAUUUGAUUGACAGCAGUGGUUUUAGAAGCAAAGUUGUCCAGAAUGAGGAGUUCUAGCAUAUAAUAUGAAUAUCACGUUUAUGUGUGAAAAACGCGCAAUGUACAAUUGUUUACAAUUAAAUUUUGUUCCGAUCGGCCUCCAUUAACCGUGUCUAACAAGUGCUCAAACUUCAUCGGCCACGUUUUUUUUUUAGUUAUGCAAAUGUCCUUAUAGACACUUGUGGCACUUUGGACAAAGACCGUGCUGAGCGAUUUUCAUGAUAGAACAAAUGGUUACGUAGGUAUAGCCAUUUUUAAUUUUUUUUUCCCCUCUGAUAGCACCACCAAGUGGCAAAGCUCCACAAUUUGUAUCACGUGACCUCACAUUGAGCUCUUACAUAAGUGUUCUGAGUUUGGUGAAGAUAUCUCAUUUUGUUCAGGAGUUAUAGGCAUUUUUCUAAAAGUGGCCCUGCCCUUUCGAAAGUUUUGGCAUUUCUUUGUGACGGUGAGUUAAAAGUUAAACUUUUUUUCACUCUCCACAGAACCUUUCUGCGCUGGUUUGGUUCAGAUCGGGUGAAAAACCUAGGACUAGUUCGCAAACGUUUUGGGAAAUACCCAAAAUACCCAAAAAUGUUGCCAGGCUCACAAUCAAAACUGUUGCAUGCGUUUUUUUUUUUUU